rnacentral:rRNA from 1 species
UACAGAGGUCUCAAGCGUUGUUCGGAUUCAUUGGGCGUAAAGGGUGUGUAGGUGGCGCGCUAAGUCGGGGUGUGAAAAUUUCGGAGCUUAACUCCGAAACUGCAUUCGAUACUGGCGUGCUUGAGGACUGGAGAGGAGACUGGAAUUCAUGGUGUAGCAGUGAAAUGCGUAGAGAUCAUGAGGAAGACCAGUGGCGAAGGCGGCUCUCUGGGACGUGACUGGACGCUGAGACGCGAAAGCGUGGGGAGCAAACAGG